rnacentral:rRNA from 1 species
GACGAACGCUGGCGGCGUGCCUAAUACAUGCAAGUCGAACGAGAGCGACCGGUGCUUGCACUGGUCAAUCUAGUGGCGAACGGGUGAGUAACACGUGGGUAACCUGCCCAUCAGAGGGGGAUAACAUCCGGAAACGGAUGCUAAAACCGCAUAGGUCUUCGAGCCGCAUGGCUUGAAGAGGAAAAGAGUCGCAAGCUUCUGCUGAUGGAUGGACCCGCGGUGCAUUAGCUAGUUGGUGAGGUAACGGCUCACCAAGGCCGUGAUGCAUAGCCGACCUGAGAGGGUGAUCGGCCACAUUGGGACUGAGACACGGCCCAAACUCCUACGGGAGGCAGCAGUAGGGAAUCUUCCGCAAUGGACGCAAGUCUGACGGAGCAACGCCGCGUGAGUGAAGAAGGUUUUCGGAUCGUAAAACUCUGUUGUUAGAGAAGAACAAGUGCUAGAGUAACUGUUAGCGCCUUGACGGUAUCUAACCAGAAAGCCACGGCUAACUACGUG